rnacentral:misc_RNA from 1 species
GGAGAGUUCUAUGGCUGGAAGUACCUCGCUGUCGACUCCGGAAGACCAGGUUAACAGUCUCAUGCACCAGGUGGCCGAUGACUACGGCCUUGAGGUUUCUGUGGGGCUUCCACAAGCAGCUGGACAUGCUAUUCCUACUAAGGACAGUGAGAAAGUCGACGAGGACGAUCUAACCAGGCGCCUUGCCGAGUUGAAGGCGCGUGGAUGAUUGAGAAACUAAAGAUUUUCCUGUUAAUAAUGAGGCUGCGCAAUUGGUAUAUUGUGACAUAGUAUGUGGAGUUGUCUCUAUUUCAUUCUGAAAACUGAACGUCUUUAAUGUACAUUUUAACUCUCUUGAGUCUUGUGUUGGUGGAGUUCUUUUGCUGUUCUUAAUGGUUUACAUAGUUUUUGCUUUUAUACUUUAAUGUGCAUGUUGGUAAUGUAUCCAUUGUCUGGUCGUGUUGUUCUUUGACUUGAUGUAUCGAUUAUCUGUUCAUAACCUUUGAUCGGAUUGCACUGUUGUUACCUGUGAAGACAAAGCUGUCCAGUUGAUGUAGUUGAUCUGUAUGGAUAAGAGGAUUGAAAUUAG